rnacentral:miRNA from 1 species
AAGCUCACGUCAUUGCUAGGG